UACGUAGGUGGCAAGCGUUAUCCGGAAUUAUUGGGCGUAAAGCGCGCGCAGGUGGUUUCUUAAGUCUGAUGUGAAAGCCCACGGCUCAACCGUGGAGGGUCAUUGGAAACUGGGAGACUUGAGUGCAGAAGAGGAAAGUGGAAUUCCAUGUGUAGCGGUGAAAUGCGUAGAGAUAUGGAGGAACACCAGUGGCGAAGGCGACUUUCUGGUCUGUAACUGACACUGAGGCUCGAAAGCGUGGGUAGCAAACAGG
rnacentral:rRNA from 1 species